rnacentral:rRNA from 1 species
AUUGAACGCUGGCGGCAGUCCUAACACAUGCAAGUCGAACGGUAACAGGAAGAAGCUUGCUUCUUUGCUGACGAGUGGCGGACGGGUGAGAAAUGUCUGGGAAACUGCCUGAUGGAGGGGGAUAACUACUGGAAACGGUAGCUAAUACCGCAUAACGUCGCAAGACCAAAGAGGGGGACAUUCGGGCCUCUUGCCAUCGGAUGUGCCCAGAUGGGAUUAGCUAGUAGGUGGGGUAACGGCUCACCUAGGCGACGAUCCCUAGCUGGUCUGAGAGGAUGACAAGCCACACUGGAACUGAGACACGGUCCAGACUCCUACGGGAGGCAGCAGUGGGGAAUAUUGCACAAAGGGCGCAAGCCUGAUGCAGCCAUGCCGCGUGUAUUAAGAAGGCCUUCGGGUUGUAAAGUACUUUCAGCGGGGAGGAAGGGAGUAAAGUUAAUACCUUUGCUCAUUGACGUUACCCGCAGAAGAAGCACCGGCUAACUCCGUG